AAGUCGUAACAAGGUUUCCGUAGGUGAACCUGCGGAAGGAUCAUCUUUGUUUGUAAGCAACUCUGCUCCGCAGAGUUGGUUUGCACGCACCUGUGAACGCAGCGCAGCUGCACAUUUGCGUAGCUUGUGGAAUAUAAAGAGAAUAAAUAGAAUGAACCGAAUACAACCUUUAGCAAUGGAUCUCUUGGCUUCU
rnacentral:misc_RNA from 1 species